AUGCUACGGCCAGCUGCAGCCAGGCUCGCCGACGACGGAAGGAAGGAAGGAAUCAGAAGGAGAAGCCUUUCUUGCUGGCUCGCACAGGCCGGUGCCAGUCAGGUCAGUCAGUGGCACGCCAUCCUUUUCAUCGUCUUCCCCUGUAUGUGUGCCUGCCGGCCUCUCUUUGCGCUUUGUGGAGCUGGUGUGGAGGGGCAAGCAGCACAGCUAUGGCGACGGACAGUUGUAGCUGCGGCACAUGCCAUGGGCACGCAUCAAGGUGACCACACACACGCACAAGCAGCAGGCAGGCACCAGGCACGCAUGCUUUUUCCCCACCCCGCUGCUCUGCAGGAAAAAGUGGCAGGAUCAGAGCGUUUGAUUGAUAAUUGUCCUUGA
rnacentral:rRNA from 1 species